rnacentral:rRNA from 1 species
UACGAGGGGUGCAAGCGUUGCUCGGAAUUAUUGGGCGUAAAGGGUAGGUAGGUGGUCUCAUUUGUCUGGGGUGAAAGCCUUGAGCUUAACUCAAGAAGUGCCCCGGAAACGGUGAGACUGGAGUCCUGGAGAGGGUUGUGGAAUUCCCGGUGUAGCGGUGAAAUGCGUAGAGAUCGGGAGGAACACCAGAGGCGAAGGCGGCAACCUGGACAGGCACUGACACUCAACUACGAAAGCGUGGGGAGCAAACAGG